rnacentral:tRNA from 1 species
GGACGGUUAGCUCAGUUGGUUAGAGCGCUUGCUCGACACGCAAGAGGUCAGCGGUUCGAAUCCACUACCGUCCA